rnacentral:rRNA from 1 species
ACGGUAAGGCCCCUUCGGGGGUACACGAGUGGCGAACGGGUGAGUAACACGUGGGUAAUCUGCCCUGCACUUCGGGAUAAGCCUGGGAAACUGGGUCUAAUACCGGAUAUGAACUCCUGCCGCAUGGUGGGGGUUGGAAAGUUUUUCGGUGCAGGAUGAGCCCGCGGCCUAUCAGCUUGUUGGUGGGGUAAUGGCCUACCAAGGCGACGACGGGUAGCCGGCCUGAGAGGGUGAUCGGCCACACUGGGACUGAGACACGGCCCAGACUCCUACGGGAGGCAGCAGUGGGGAAUAUUGCACAAUGGGCGAAAGCCUGAUGCAGCGACGCCGCGUGGGGGAUGACGGUCUUCGGAUUGUAAACCCCUUUCAGUAGGGACGAAGCGCAAGUGACGGUACCUGCAGAAGAAGCACCGGCUAACUACGUGCCAGCAGCCGCGGUAAUACGUAGGGUGCGAGCGUUGUCCGGAAUUACUGGGCGUAAAGAGCUCGUAGGCGGUUUGUCACGUCGUCUGUGAAAUCCCUCGGCUUAACCGGGGGCGUGCAGGCGAUACGGGCAGACUUGAGUACUACAGGGGAGACUGGAAUUCCUGGUGUAGCGGUGAAAUGCGCAGAUAUCAGGAGGAACACCGGUGGCGAAGGCGGGUCUCUGGGUAGUAACUGACGCUGAGGAGCGAAAGCAUGGGUAGCGAACAGGAUUA